UUUUUUUUGGUAAGAUUUGUUUUCCUGGUGGAUGGCUCCUGGGGGCGGCCUCCUCUCCCGCUCCGGGACCUCUCGGGUUUCAGUGAUCAUACCCUUCCCCACGUCCUCCUCCCCACCCCCACCCCGCCGGAGGCGAGCCGAUUUUUCCAGAUCCUUCCCCAUCCUCAGGACUCCCAAGUCUGGGCCUGCCUGCCUACCUCCCUGCCUGCCUGCCGGCCCGCCCCGUUCACCCGGCCCCGCAGCGUAGUAUCUGGAGCCGGAGCCAGGCAGCCAGAUGUGAAGAGGCAAGGGUCGUCCCCCUGCGAUCGGACCCCAGGCACCCGUGGCGUGGGCACCUAAGCGAUGUGGGGAUUAGAGGCCGAGGGAGCGAAGGCCCGGGGGCACAAAUUGCGGGACACAACUUUGUCCUCCCUGCAGCCCGGCAGGCCCGCCGGAUGAGUUGCUUUCCAAAAUUCCGUGAGCAGGAGACCUUGUGGACAGGAAGGAAUGUUUUCAUCGCAACCGCCGCUCCUUAGAUACCUGUGGAGCUGUAGUUACUGAAACAGCGCUGGCUUGAUCGGAAGAUCUGCCUGGCGAGGUCCUGACUCUGCCCAGCACUGUAGUACCACAGUUACACAUAGCGCCUGGUAAGUGCUACCAGAUGGCUAUCUAUCGGCUUUGUGAAUUUUCAUUCCAAUGUAACGAACUUCGUGUCUCUGUGUGCUCGGCAUGAUGUUGUUCGGUGAUGCCAUUUAAGUCGGCAGUAGGCUGUUACUACGGGGUCUGCGAGAUAGCUCAGUGGGUGGAAGUGCUUGGACUGCGGACCUGGGUUUGAUUCCUAACACCCACAACGUUGAGUGAACGGACUCCUACAAACUGUCUUCUGACACCCGCACGUGUGCCCUGUUGUCCCUCCCAAAUUAGUGUGAUAAAUAAUAAUAAUAAAACUUAAUUAUUUUGGUUUAAGUA